rnacentral:lncRNA from 1 species
AGCUUUUAAAUAUAGACCUAAGCAUAUAAUCAAUAAAAGUUUUGGACUGCACACUAUAUAUAUUGCUGAAAACGGUGCUUUCAUUGUUAAUAAGUCAAUCAAAGAAAAUUUGUGCUUAAUGAUUACAGCUAUUGAAAUGGCUGGAUACAAUGGAAAAGUUGUAAUAAGAAUCAAUAUUGCAGCAUCUGAUUUCUAUGUUAAUGAAAAAUACGAAGUCAUGCAAUAAUGUCAAAGUCAAAUCACUUCAACUGAAAAUGUAAUAAACUUUUGUCAAGAACUCAUUGAAAAAUGUCCAAUAGUUCUGAUAGAAGAUCUAUUUCACCAGGACCAUUAGAUACAUGCUUACAGAAGUUACUAGCAUUCAGACCAAGGAUAUUUGACUUAAACAUAAUGGUGCAAAAGCAAACAUGAUCCUCCCAAAGAGACUGGACAAAGUACACCUUAAGCGCCGCAUCAAGAAUACUACAGAAAUUGAAUUGGUAUCUUGUAUUUAAUUUAUUAAUACCCUAAAAUUAUAUUUUAAAAUCUACAAUGUCAAAGA